UCAAUAUCUCUUUUAUUACAGAGUGCACAGUAGCGUUGAUGUCAUUCUGUUCUGUUCACUGCAUAUCUACCCGUUUCAAUUCGAAGUUUAUGAGAUGCUAACCGCAAUCUUGUCAAAGAGAUGCGAAACUUAUUAGAUUUAGAAAGACCCCAGAUUUCACAUGAGUAAUUCAGUUUUGACCCAACAAAAGCAUCAAAGAGCUGGCACACCGUCUUUGGUUUCAGCAUGUCUAGGCUAUUCUGCAGUUCCAGGGGUGUUUUACCAAAAAUGACCAUAUCAUCAGCAAACAACAUCAAUAUAAAGCUUGGGAGCCAGAGACUCUGUAUUCCCAUGGAAAUGUGAAAUGGUGCCAGUACUUUAGUAGGGACAGUGAGGGGCCAAACACGGUGCAAGUCCUUCUGUAUGUUCCCUGCCUUCAAUCUUCUAGACCUCUACUGCUGGUGCCUUCUGUUCAGAAGUAUAUUCUCUUUAAGUUUUGGCGCAGACAGUGUUCGGAGAGACUGGCAAAAAUGACUGAUAAUGAUGAAUAAAACUACAACAACAACAAUUAAGCAAAACAGACCAGAUAACUCAGAUGCUGAACUGCCAGUAGCUGCUGGAAAUGUGGGACAGAGUUAGCAUUGAAUAACUUUCAGCUGGAUCUUGUCUGGAGCUUUCUGGAGUUCAUUUGAACUACAUCUGUACAGUCAACACUAUAAUUCAGGCUGGUGAGUCUGUGAUUGGUUCUACACCAAGAAAUGAGGAGACUUCUUUGUUCUGAUGUCUGCCAUCACUCUACUGUCCUGAGAAUCACCAUAGCGAUGACCUAGGUGUCAGAACAGGAACCAGAACAUACCUUAUUGAAAACCUAGACAUUCUCAUUUUUCCAAUCUGUCAUAGGAUUCAUGGAGGUCAUAGCCAACAUAAUACAGAUGCCCCUGUUCUUAAGAUUCAUUCCUGCAAACCAAGACCAAGCUGAUGGAUAAAGUAUCGGCUGAUUCAUUUGUGUCCCUUGCUUGAAGCUGCUUCCCAUGGAAUUUUUUCACGAAGUCAUUGACUGUCGACGUGGCAUGAAGACGGAAUGUACUGAUCAGACCAAGUUUCUCCGCUGUUUCCGGGCAGCCAAUGGAAGAGCCGAG